GAUGAACGCUGGCGGCGUGCCUAAUACAUGCAAGUCGAGCGAACAGACGAGGAGCUUGCUCCUCUGACGUUAGCGGCGGACGGGUGAGUAACACGUGGAUAACCUACCUAUAAGACUGGGAUAACUUCGGGAAACCGGAGCUAAUACCGGAUAAUAUAUUGAACCGCAUGGUUCAAUAGUGAAAGACGGUUUUGCUGUCACUUAUAGAUGGAUCCGCGCCGCAUUAGCUAGUUGGUAAGGUAACGGCUUACCAAGGCAACGAUGCGUAGCCGACCUGAGAGGGUGAUCGGCCACACUGGAACUGAGACACGGUCCAGACUCCUACGGGAGGCAGCAGUAGGGAAUCUUCCGCAAAGGGCGAAAGCCUGACGGAGCAACGCCGCGUGAGUGAUGAAGGUCUUCGGAUCGUAAAACUCUGUUAUUAGGGAAGAACAAAUGUGUAAGUAACUAUGCACGUCUUGACGGUACCUAAUCAGAAACCCACGGCUAACUACGUG
rnacentral:rRNA from 1 species